rnacentral:misc_RNA from 1 species
GAUGAAGAACGUAGCGAAAUGCGAUAAGUAAUGUGAAUUGCAGAAUUCAGUGAAUCAUCGAAUCUUUGAACGCACAUUGCGCCCGCCAGUAUUCUGGCGGGCAUGCCUGUCCGAGCGUCAUUUCAACCAUCAAGCCUCGUGCUUGUGUUGGGGACCUGCGUCCGACGCAGGCCCUGAAAACCAGUGGCGGGCUCGCUGUCCACACCGAGCGUAGUAACUAACCUCGCUAUGGAGUGGCGCGGGCGCCUGCCGUAAAACCCCCAAUUUCACAAGGUUGACCUCGGAUCAGGUAGGAAUACCCGCUGAACUUAAGCAUAUCAAUAAGCGGAGG